UACGUAGGGGGCAAGCGUUGUCCGGAAUCAUUGGGCGUAAAGCGCGCGUAGGCGGCCCGGUAAGUCCGCUCUGAAAGUCCAGGGCUCAACCCUGGAAAGCGGGUGGAUACUGCCGGGCUAGAGUCCGGAAGAGGCGAGUGGAAUUCCUGGUGUAGCGGUGGAAUGCGCAGAUAUCAGGAGGAACACCGAUAGCGAAGGCAGCUCGCUGGGACGGUACUGACGCUAAGGCGCGAAAGCGUGGGGAGCGAACAGG
rnacentral:rRNA from 1 species